GAGUCCGACUCUCUAACCAUUAGGCCACGACUUCCCCCAAACUGACAGUUCUUCCCCAUUUAGUGGGACCUUUGACCUUUCACAUGGCUAAGAUCAGUAUAUAAAGCAGCUGUGAUGUUUCAUAAAUAGGAGAUGUUUACUAAUAGUACCAGAGUGUCUAAGCUGCAUUUUUCACUGGAAAUACCAGUGAUCUUGAAGUGCCGACAAUGAAACUGUAGCCUGUCAGUGUUACGGAUCUCAUCUCUGGGUAGAGGACACUGAUUAUGUGCCUCUGUGUACAAAUGUUUUCCAGACUGCAGACAGCAGUGUAACAGGUGUAUGUAUGUGUGUUUGCAGGUGCGAUUGCUGCAGCAGUGUUCAUAGGCUUUCUGUUAGCCCUCUAUGCUGCUCUUUGGAAAUGUAUGGUUACGCAACCGAAAAGGAGGGAAAAAAGAGCAAGACUGAAGGCUCGUGAACACAGGUCUCUUACAUGCUGACCUCUGAACGGGACGUCCGCCUGUCUACCAGAGAUUCUGAGUUACUGAUGUUAAGUCGGAGCUUCUCCUGGUGUGAAGCACCCUCAUGAAACGUGUUUAGGUAUUAACGCACAGUUUGAGACAAUAUUUCAUGCAGGAGGGAACUAGAUGCUUCAGAUGCUUCAGUCACCUAUCAGGUUCUGGAUUGGUAUGUUUGACAGAGCAGUGUAUGUUAUUCAGUUAGACCAGAGAGUUACAUUUUAGAAAAUGGUUUUAAAAAUGUAAAUGUAGUCAUUAAACUAAGUGAUUUUGUGUAUAUUGUGUGUAUACAUAGGGAAUAGCAAGCCCAAAUGUGCUCUUGAAGUGUGUACGAAUGUUUUACUUUGUCACAACAAAACAAAUGUCCACUAGAUGGCAGAUGGCUCAAUGUUUUUUUUUUUACUUUUUACUUGAUGAAACAAGAAUCAGCCAAGAUAUACAGUCUUUCAGUCUUUAGAGGUUUAUCUUUAUAGACUUAUGUGUUUCGGACGUUUAUUUUAUUGCUGAUAGCUAUGCUAAUUAAUUCAUGAAUGAUAUAAUCAAUUUUAAGAGACUAGGCCCUUGUUUUUCUCCAAACAUCCCCUUUGACCAU
rnacentral:lncRNA from 1 species